rnacentral:rRNA from 1 species
GCAGUCGAACGAUGAACCGGUUUCGGCCGGGGAUUAGUGGCGAACGGGUGAGUAACACGUGGGCAAUCUGCCCUGCACUCUGGGACAAGAGCCGAAAACGGGGUCUAAUACCGGAUAUGACACAUGAGGGCAUCUUCGUGUGUGGAAAGCUCCGGCGGUGCAGGAUGAGCCCGCGGCCUAUCAGCUAGUUGGUGGGGUAGUGGCCUACCAAGGCUACGUCGGUUAGCCGGCCUGAGAGGGCGACCGGCCACACUGGGACUGAGACACGGCCCAGACUCCUACGGGAGGCAGCAGUGGGGAAUAUUGCACAAUGGGCGAAAGCCUGAUGCAGCGACGCCGCGUGAGGGAUGACGGCCUUCGGGUUGUAAACCUCUUUCAGCAGGGAAGAAGCUUUCGGGUGACGGUACCUGCAGAAGAAGCACCGGCUAACUACGUGCCAGCAGCCGCGGUAAUACGUAGGGUGCGAGCGUUGUCCGGAAUUAUUGGGCGUAAAGAGCUCGUAGGCGGCUUGUCGCGUCGGUUGUGAAAGCCCGGGGCUUAACCCCGGGUCUGCAGUCGAUACGGGCAGGCUAGAGUUUC